rnacentral:rRNA from 1 species
GAUGAACGCUGGCGGCGUGCCUAAUACAUGCAAGUCGAGCGAACGGACGAGAAGCUUGCUCCUCUGACGUUAGCGGCGGACGGGUGAGUAACACGUGGAUAACCUACCUAUAAGACUGGGAUAACUUCGGGAAACCGGAGCUAAUACCGGAUAAUAUUUUGAACCGCAUGGUUCAAUAGUGAAAGACGGUCUUGCUGUCACUUAUAGAUGGAUCCGCGCUGCAUUAGCUAGUUGGUAAGGUAACGGCUUACCAAGGCAACGAUGCGUAGCCGACCUGAGAGGGUGAUCGGCCACACUGGAACUGAGACACGGUCCAGACUCCUACGGGAGGCAGCAGUAGGGAAUCUUCCGCAAUGGGCGAAAGCUUGACGGAGCAACGCCGCGUGAGUGAUGAAGGUCUUCGGAUCGUAAAACUCUGUUAUUAGGGAAGAACAAAUGUGUAAGUAACUAUGCACGUCUUGACGGUACCUAAUCAGAAAGCCACGGCUAACUACGUG